UCAUUUUGCUGUUAUUGAUCUUUAAGUUUAUACAACACACUAAGGAUGGAUUGCAGAGUUCAAGAAAGAGGAGUUGAUUAAUGAGCACUUACAUGUUGACGCUUAAGUUUGAUUCUUAAUUAAACACAACUUCAUAUCGUGGAAGUUUAUGUGGAAAUACAGCUUGGUGUCUGCAUCCUUUAGCAUAAUAAACGAGGAUGAAUCUCUUCAUUUUGCGCCCUUAGUUCUCAAUUGGAUUCACGGUAAACACCCAGAAAUUUAGAGAGUAAAAACCUUGAAACUUAAAGAUCUUACCCCGUAGUGCUCAAUCCAGAGAAUUGGUACUCAUAAUCAAUAAGAUUCAUACGGGUUAUUGGUAUCAAUUUUGGUUGCAGCAAUGCUAUUCUUGCUGAACACCUGCCAUAUGUGUGAGGCAUUAGCCAUGAUUUCAUCUGGGCAAUUACGAAAUAUCAAAAAGUAUCCUCUUUGCUAAGGAUAACACACUCCUGCAGGAACUAGACAUCCCAAUAUUUUGCAAUCUGAUUACAGAUUAUCUACCAAAAGUACAUACCUCUAUCAAUUAUAUGAUAUUUUUAGUGGCUUUGUUCUAUGUUAGAUAUUGACAUACAACAUUAAAAUCUCGAUCAUGGUCCACUAAAAAAGUAUUAAACGUGUUAUAAAUAGAAACACAUUCUAACAUGGAUUUCUUUUUACAAUGGAGACCAAUAUUCAGAACACAGUGAACAAGUUUUUACAAGCUAAUCCUGCUGGUAAUAGAAACCACAUCCUUUGUCUCUCUGCUUACUUGCUUUUUAACAUGGAGAGAAAUUUAAUCUGUAUUUCAGAAUUAGUGGUCUUCUUGAUGUCCAACUGUAGGGGUCUUGAAAUUGUAUUUUGGAAUUAGUGAUCUUGAUUCAGAACAAAAGGACUCUGAACAGUUCAAAGGUUUUGGGAAAGAAGUGCUUUUUAAUCAGGCCAAUUGGGUCCUCCUAGCAGUACAACCUCGAAAAAGUUUUAAGUUCAAGUCCGAUAGUUUUGGCAAGAUGCAAAUGGGUUUUGAUUGGGAAGGUAACAUCAUCCUAUAUAUGUUUUGAAGCAAUUUACUUAUUUGCAUUUUUCAGUUUUAUGUGUCCCAAGAGUUUUCAAGUGUUAAUAAGGACCUCGAAAAGGUUAAUCAGUAGUGCUUUAGUGGUACAAAAUGUGAACAUCACUUUGAGUGAUUAAUAUAAAUCUCUACGUUUUCAUUUUGAAUGUUGAAGUUGAAAAUUGCUUUGGUUAGGAUACUAAUGAUCAGAAAAAAAUAACUUUGACUAAAUUUCUUUUUUGUUGUUUUCAUAUGCUUCUUCUGUGGUGGGUUUUGAAAUUUCAGUUGUGGAAGUGAAAUUCACUUCUCAAAAUAGUUACGAUAAUGCCUAUUUUUCUCUCAAAACUCUUUCAGCCGAGUUGCCACAAUCAGUGAUUGAAGCUCUCCAUAACGAGUCAGACAUCAGCCUGAUACACUACUCUCACUCUUUCCUGCUUUUAAUUUUGAUUGUUUAUGAACUGUGUACUGUUUGCUUUUUAUUUGCAAUUUGUUGCUGAAUUUUAUUUUGAUAAUUUGUGAAUUUUGUUUUAUUUUUUGUUCGACAUCUUUUAAGGGUUAUUGCCCACAAAUUCUCUUUAGGCCAAACAAUAACGUUAGA
rnacentral:sRNA from 1 species